UUACCACUAUUCCAAGUUCCCCCUUCGGUACCUCGAAUGUAUAAGAUUGCACCCUCACUCUUAGUCUCAUCGUCGCUCGAUUGAAGGUCAUACGAUCGUGCAGACGCAUAAUGGAUCUCCUAAAAAUAAUUAAGUGAUAUCGAUCGGACAAGGAUCCUAAACUUCAAAAAUUUUACGGGAAGUCAGUAGAGAAGUCUUAUUGCAAGUACCCACUAAUAUAAAGUUGCAUUUAAAUGACAUUCUAGUGCUUCUUGAUAUAGACGACUCCAGAGAGAAUUUAUGCAAAGUUGUGAGUUUUGCAUUGGAGCAGAAAGACGAAUUGAAGGAAGAUACGGUUACACAGGAACUUCGUAAGAAGAAAGCUAAAACAUCAGAAAACAAAUCGUCAGGGAUGAAAACUUUAGAAGAUAAAAUAGCAGAUCUUGAGAAAAAGUUAGAGAAGAAGCAAGCUGAUGACGAAUUAUCUGAAUUUGAAAGGGUCAAGAGAGAUGUUAAAGAUAUGAGGCUGCCAAAGGAAAGUUGGAUAUUGAUGUCUUACAUGAAAAAUUAAUAUUGCUAGACAAUUUAGCGCGAAAGCAAAAUCAUGAUUUGAAGGAAAAAAAUAAAUUUGAUUUUAAGUAGAUUUCAUAUUCACAAAAAUAGACCGAAUUUUGCAGCAGCGUUAGUACUAAAACUUGUGUGCAACAAAGAAGAGGAAGCGGUGCUUGAUAAAGAACAGAAGUUACUCAAGACAUUUGGUUUACAUGCCAAAAAAUCCUCGCUAAAAAUUCCGGUCGACCUCCUACGGCACCCAUUAGUAGUUAAAGAUUUGAUUUCUUUCAACAAAUUAAUUUAUGACCUGCAUAUACGUGUCGCUUAGAACACAGCCAUAUACCAAAUGGUCAAUAUUAAUCACCCGUGUAAUUUGCUCUAUGGGAUGUUUGCAAAAUUUCAACGGAGGCAAUUUCUUGGCAUAGGAGAAAGGAAGAAAGACCAUUCACAAUUUGUUUAACAUUUUUUUCUCUCUUUUAAUUAAAUUAAAAAAACAAAAAAUAAA